UACGUAGGGUGCAAGCGUUGUCCGGAAUUAUUGGGCGUAAAGAGCUCGUAGGCGGUCUGUCACGUCGGCUGUGAAAACCCGGAGCUCAACUCCGGGCCUGCAGUCGAUACGGGCAGACUGGAGUUCGGCAGGGGAGACUGGAAUUCCUGGUGUAGCGGUGAAAUGCGCAGAUAUCAGGAGGAACACCGGUGGCGAAGGCGGGUCUCUGGGCCGAUACUGACGCUGAGGAGCGAAAGCGUGGGGAGCGAACAGG
rnacentral:rRNA from 1 species